rnacentral:lncRNA from 1 species
UUAUCUGCUCGAUGGAGCUCGUACGGGCGAUGAGGGGAGAAGAUGGAAAAAGGCGUGAGCCAACCUCCGAGGGCGCCGGUCUAACAGCCCGUCCGUCCGGUUAACAUCGCAUGAUGCUCUUACAGUUUUCAGAUUCCUCUCUCUCUACAGAUGAUGAUUACUCGUAUCAGGUUUAUAGGACAGAGAGAUCCUUGGACGUAUUGUCAGUUAGGGUAGUUCAUGUACGCACACGCAGUACUAAGUUUUUA